GUCACAAAGACUUUCACUGAUCCUUGCUAGUGACAGAGCGGCAACGCUGCUGCUCAUCGGGGCAACUUGUCUAAAUUUCAGUAGUGCAGUGUUAGAGCACCUACAGCAUCUCUAGGGCACUGGCAGAAAAAUGGCCUGACACAACAAGCACCUCCAGUUUUUCCAGAGACUCAAGUCUUAAAUGGUUUUGAAGGGGCAACCCCAAUCUCACAUACAGACCUCUACACAGGAAUGGGCUGUCAUCUCUUUUUUCCUUACAGGGAGGCAGCUUCCAGAAGAACAAUUUCCUCCAGCGCAACACAGUUGGGGUGACUGGUUAUGGAGUGGACGUAGCAGUUCAAUAACCCCACCUCCUUUCCCAGCACGCUCUGCACCUCGUAAGUCUGCAGAAAUAAAAGCAUGCACCAGCUCAGUCCCUCCUGUUUAAUGAUCUGACCGGCAUUUAACCCACGAGUUGUGCCUGAGCGAAUUUGCAGAGGCUGUGUUCUGUGUGGAGGAGAGGGAUGCAAGGCUGGCAUGCCUGCACUAAGAGGAUAACACAAGAACUGGCCUUGCCUACAACAAGCCUCUGACUGUGCCCCUGCCUUCAUCUGUGCUGUGCUUCUGUCCAGCUAUGUGAUACCCAUGGCGUUGCCUGGUUCAAGGUUUUAUCAGUUCAUCAGCAAUAAAAAUACUACGUCUUAGCUCUAGGAAGGAGCAAAGUGCAGCCUGUGCCUGCAGGAAUCAUUGCAUCACCUAUUGCUGUUAUGGCUACAUCUACAAAACACCUGGAGUGCUCUGGAGCAUGCUGAC